CUCAACCCACUGAGCAAGGCCAGGGAUCAAACCUACAUCCUCACAGAGACAAGGUGCGGGCUUAAAAAGAAAAAAAGAAAAGAAGCCUGGAGCUUGCUAGCUCCACGUGCCUCUGAGGAACUUCCCUCGAGGAAGAUGCUGGGUAUCCUGACAUUAAACUAUUCACCCACUUCCCUGGGGAAAGUGCUGAAGAGGAGGCAUUAUUCUGCUCAGUCAGUGCUUUGCCCCUUCACCGAGAUCAACAACCUGGAACAUCAAGUUUCUGCAUAACUUUGGAGGAGAAUGGAGCAGCAGGAGUCUGAAGCCACAGGCCUGAGCAGUGAAGUCAUCUGAGGCCAAGUCUGCGCCUUCAACAGAUAGAUACCCCCUAAACCCCUACUAUGUGCUGGGCCCCGUGCUGAGGGCUGGGGACACACAACUAUUUCAGACAUGCUCCCUGACUACCAGGAGCUCACAGGUGAGUGGAAGAGAAAGACAGAGAACAGAUUAGGAUCGACAAGUGUUUUCAGUCCUAGAGCCAAGGGGAAGCGGGUGAAAGAAGAAUUUGUUCCAGCUGGAGUGGAAAGAGAAGUCGCUGGAACAGAGCCUGGAAAAUACACAAGCAUUCUCCAGCAAAGGAAAUGCUGCACAUGGCCAAGACCCCAGAGGCUACAAGCAGCCUGCCAGCUUGUUGUUGGGUAAAUCCAGGGCACAGGGCAUGAGGAGGCAGAAGACUGAAGGACGAGGCUGGAGAGGCAGGUCAGACCCAGAUCCUACCCAGCUUUGCAGGCCAGGCUGAGGAGGGGGAGCUUUACCCUGCAGACCAAGGAGGUGCUGAAAGGUUGGAAGGGACUGAGGCAUUGCCAGCAAGGCCACUCCAGUUCUAAUAUAGACAUUAGUGAGGGGAGGUGGAAGGGCCUGGAAGGUGGGAGAGCGGUGAGGAGGGCUGAAAAGAGAUGGUGGAGGCUCACGCUAGGGCAGUGGCCAUCGAGGAUCAGCUGGAUGUGACUCUAACAGGAGCUAGGACAGGACAGGACAAUCAGCAAAGCCAGAGAUCCAUCCCGUCCAAUGUUCCAGACUCUAGCCCCAAGCUUCUGUUUUCCGUCCCAGAUUUGGAUGGAAAAGAAGUACCGGAGACUGUUUCAGAAAGAAAAGAAAGACAGAUUUGCACUCAGCUCUGUGUGGUGUUGACUCCAAGAAGUGGGAUGGCAAGGGGUAGGGUGUCUGGGAGGGAGGAGGGCCCUGCCUUGACUUCACUCAGUAAGUUUGUUCAGCAGAUGUCUGUCCUGGGCCUGCUAAGCGAGGAACCAGCAGACCUAGUUAAUAUCCCAGGUAUUCUGGUCACCCCCUCCACGGCCACAGGCAAGCGACAAUUUCUGAGCCAGUUCCUCCAUCAGGAAAAUGAAGAUGGGCAUCCCUUCCAUACAGAGUUGUUUUAAAGUUUAGAAAUAAUAUAUGUAAGAAUAACUGUGGCACAGAUAGGUGUUGGGUAAAUGGCAGUCCUUGUUAUUGAUUUAGUCUCUGAACAUGUACAGUGAGGUUGAACCCAAACCAGUCCCAGGCUCUAAAAAUUUCUGUGUUUCAGUGCUUCCCUCUACUGGCCAAAAGGGGCAGAUUCCACUGGGGAGAGAAUCACGGGGUGCUAAAACCAGACAGAGCUCCCCGUCUUCUCAUGCAGAGUCAGAAUCCUCCUACAUCAAGGGUUCCCCACUGGGAGAACAGCAGCAUCUCUCCAGAUGUAGACCCCUCCAGAGGCAGCAGAUGUGAAGCAGCAAAUAGCCCGCCAGCCACUUAGCAGCAGCAUGAAGCUGGAUGCAUCACUGCACUUCUCUGAGCCUGUUUCCCUGACUAUAAAAUGGAAUGAUGAUCCCUGCCUUUAUUCACAGAGUUGUUGUGACUUUUGGGGAAAGAGAUUACAUCUGAAUAAGGUCUGUGGACAGACAUGCUCUGAGCUUCCCUAAAAUAUUAAUCAUCAAGCACUUUCUGGUGUCCCUUCUCCAUCAUUCUGUGCACUGGGGACCCCAGGAAGAUUGUAAGAAGCUGGCCCUGGAGUUCCUGUCGUGGCUCAGCCGAAACGAAUCUGACUAGCAUCCGUGAGGACUCAGGUUCCAUCCCUGG